AUGCAAGAACCACCAUAGGUAUCCUUGAGGAAGGUCCCUUGUUGUACCUUUAAGUAUGAAUUCACUCUCCAACUUCAUAGGGGGAACUUUCGUUAUCCUUGCUAGCUGCAAAUCAGGUAUAUAUUGCCCAAGGUGGUAUGAAGUGCUUCCCUUGAUGAAUACAUCUAAGAUAUCCUCAAUUUCUUCUAUUGUUGGCAUCAACUAAAAAUGGGUCAUAGUGUUGGGCUAAAACAAUAAUUGUUGUUGUCUGGACCUCCACCUCUGACAGUAUCAACAAAUUCCCAUCCAUUCCUGAAUGCAUUUUUCAAGGUUAUCUUUUUUCACAUCCCUCAAGAGAUUGAUAUUGCCCCCCUUGACUUCAAUGUGUAUGCUUUUCUUCAAAAAGUCCAAACUCGAAUGCCCCUUGACUCAAAAUCCCAUGUUAAUUUCCAUUUUUACCGUAAUCACAACUUUAUAAUUUCUUGACUAGAACUCACAAAAUUUUGACAAGACCAUAAAAACACGAGCAACAAAGAAAGAAUGCAGUGAUAUGUACGAGGUGCUUGAUUUUAUUAAACAAAAGUGAGGGUUAUAAGGAUACACACAUCUCCCUUUGUGCCCUAGUGGAGGUUCAACAUUUUAGAUUCAAGGUCGAGUAUAUGCAAUCUCACAAGGAUGGUUCCCUGAACCUAAAGGUCAAUGGUCACUAGAGCUAUGGCCCCCUCCCAGCAUCUCCACAACAGUCGAGUAAUCAACUAGGUGUGGAAACACACAUGAAGAGAACAAACUCUAGCUGGAGUUCUCACGAUAGCCAAACAGGAAGUACAUCCCAGAGUGACACCGCUACAUAACUCCUCUAAUUCUAAGCUGCGCUCAGACCCGGGUAUAGGGCCUCUCUCAAUAGAUGCAUAAUAUGUGUGUGUGUGAAGGGAGAAUGCAAUGCACCCAAACCCUCACCUGCAAAACAGCCAGAAAAUUCCCAGGCAGAUACAAGCAUGUUUUCUACCCUAGGGUUCAAUAUACAAUCAAAUCACAUGCAAUUAUUCCAAAUACCAAGCAUAGAUAAAGAAAAUGGGAAGAAAAACACAAAGCAAAACCACAUCGAAAUUCGCGCAUCUAAUUAAAUGGCCUGACUCUCUAGCUAUCCCCAGUGGAGACGCCAUCUGUCGCAACCGAAAAAAUCGCGACGGGACGACGACGAU
rnacentral:lncRNA from 1 species